rnacentral:misc_RNA from 1 species
UCGUAAGUUGAAACGUUCACUGCACAAAGAUGGAUGUGUUGCGCACGAUGACAAUAUGUUCUACUAUAUGGAUUUUAUUUAUUUUCAGGUCCGGAAUAGAAUCUGUACGAAUCAACAGUCCGAGUGCAGUGUUUCAUUUUGUACGAGAAAGAUAUUUCCCAAAACAGGACGGUAGCACAGCAGGAAUAUCAAGAACUGGACUACUGAACAAAGGAGAAAAUAAACUGUCGGAUCAUAACAAUGUGUCACGGGUAAUCAAGAAAUCCCGAAGACAUGCUGACGGGACAGUGGCUUUUUAUGUCACUCUAUCCACUGAUAUCGCCGGUCUUGGAGAUUAUGAAGAGAUCCCAUUUGAUCAAGUUAUUCUAAACGAAGGUGAAGCGUUUGAUCCAGUGUUCCAUAGGUUUGUUUGCCCUAAGAGUGGAGUUUACAUGUUUCGGUCUGCUUUAAUGAGUGAAGCAAACAGCCAUACUGAAACGGAAGUUGUUAAAGACGGUACCCCUGUUUUCCGCAUGUAUUCGUCUGGUAUUAAGACUAGCUAUCAUUAUGACCAAGGCUUCAACACAGGCAUCAUAAAUUGCGAAAAAAAUCAGAGGGUAUGGGUUAGAGUGAAUGGCAAUCUGGGUACGUCUGUGAGGUACUUAUUUACAACGUUCUCUGGCUAUCUCCUUUGGGAAACUGGGGCGUCCCCGGACUGAAGUGAAUACUAGCGAAAACAUUACGAACGUGGCCUUUCAUUCUUACUUGGGAGAGACGAUCAACGACCUUCGAGUUAAACAAACUAUUCCGUUUGACAAAGUGCUUUUGAACGAAGGCAAAGGUUACCAAAGUAAUACCUUUACUUGUCCUGUGGAUGGAAUAUACAUGUUUCAGUCUUCUGUACUGUCUAACUUUGAAGCUAUUGAGACUGAAAUAGUGAAAGAUGGGGAACAGUUUGUCCGUAUGUAUGCAGCUGCAGACGGACAGUCCAACGACCAACAUGACCAAGGCUUCAAUGCUGGAAUUAUACAUUGCAGCAAGGGUCAGAAUGUCUGGGUGCAAGUAAGUCGAGGAAAAUCCGUCAUGCAGUAUGAAUUCACAACCUUUUCUGGAUAUCUUAUGUGGCCAGUAGAGGAAGGCUUAACUACACCAGAAUUAGCAGAAAGAACGCUUGACACUGACCCUACCCAAAUUGCAUUCAAUGCCUAUCUAUCUACUGAUGUGGGUAGAAUCGGACAAAAAGUAGCUAUGCCAUUCGACAGGGCGUCUUUAAACGAAGGAAAUGGAUUUGACAUUGGGUCACAUACAUUUACUUGUCCUGUUCAUGGGAUUUAUGUUUUUCAGUCAGCUUUGAUGGUCAACUCUAGUCAAAGGGAAACUGAUAUCGUUAAGAAUGGCAAUUUAGUCGGUCCUAUAUAUGCUGGAGUUAAUAACCAGGUGGGAAGCAGCCACUUUGAUCAGGGGUUUAAUUCAGUAAUCGUAGACUGCAAACGUUCCGACAGGGUAUUGGUAAGGGUUGGCAGUCUUUCAGGUACAGCGAUAAAUUAUCACAACACGACAACCUUUUCCGGCUUUCUUCUUUGGUAAAAACAGAACAAAAGUUAGAAGUAGAUGGAACUGAAGGUAUAUCAGCAUAACAAACUUAUCGAUGUUUUGACUUGUUCUUAGAACAGAUAAAAAAGAUUCCAUGAAUAUAUUG